rnacentral:tRNA from 1 species
GGGGUAGUGGCCCAGUGGUAGUGCAUCUGCUUGGCAUGGAAAAGGUCCCAAGUUCAAUUCCCGGCAUCUCCA